CACACCGCCCGUCACAUCACGAAAAGUGAGCUGUACUAGAAGUCGCCCCAGCCAACCGUAAGGGGGCAGGCGCCCAAGGUAUGGCCCAUGAUUGGGGUG
rnacentral:rRNA from 1 species